ensembl:lncRNA
AAUAGACAAUUAAUGCCUCAUUCAGAAUGUUUUUGUGAACUGGAUCAAAUGAUUCUUUGUAAAGACUCAUUACAACAAUUAUUUUACAAAUAAGUCAUUGCUACAUCUGUCCAGAUAGAUAAAGAAUAGCUAUGAAUACACAGUAUUAUACACAUAGAUAGAUAGAUAGAUAGAUAGAUAGAUAGAUAGAUAGAUAGAUAGAUAGAUAGAUAGAUAGAUAGAUAGAUAGAUCAUAACUUUAAUUGCUCCUAGUGCAGAAAUGAGGCACACUCACACUCACCCACCCAGACCUAGUGUGUUUGGGUCUGGGUGAAACGUCCUAAUUAGAAGGAGGGAGGUAAAGGGCUGCGACUUUGGUCCACUUCACAGCUCUUGUGGCCUCUUCCUCCCCUCUGCUGAGUGUGUAAACAAUAACAGUGGCCGCUUUGAAAGGACACAGGUGUCAACCAUUGUGUGCUUUUUGAAAAGCAUGGAGAGAGGGAGGUUAGGAGGCUAGAGGGUGGGCUAACACACCCUUUUCAUCUAACUGCAAACACCCCCUCCAGCAUUUCAUCGCUUGACUAGUACUGUCUCACAUGCAGUGAACAGGAAAUCUGGGUCCAGAAUAACAGUGGUUAUUUUUCUAGAUUCUGCUAAUUGGGAACAUUGGGCAUCAUUGUUCUAUAUUGCCUAAAAGAUCCAGGUUUUGGCUUUGAUUUGGUGUUUUCAUACUUAAUGUUCGAAUAAUGAUGCAGCCAUUAUAGAUAGAUAGAUAGAUAGAUAGAUAGAUAGAUAGAUAGUUAGAUAGUUCAGUUCAUGUUUAUGGUGAUGCUGGAGAGGGUGGGGGAUUUAUUGCUCAGCAUUAGGAGCUCUAAUCUGUUGCAGGUGUUCCUGGCUGCUAUCCCAGCCAGACUGGCCGUUCCUUCCCCCUGGAGGCCCCAUCAUAAUAGUGUAUGCGGGCAUGUGUGGGUGUGUGUCUAAGAGAGAAGGGGAAAGUGUGAGUAAAAAGAGAUAGUGUAUGCGUAAUGCGUAAGGCAGUGCAUGUUAAGCAGGAGGAGGUUCUGACUUGGAUUUCCCCUCUUAAAUCCAAUAAAGUACAUGAGAAUUGAUACAGCCUGCCUGGUGUAAUUUCAGUUCAUGUAGCUCUUCUGUGAAUUCGAUAUAUUAUGACCCACCCAUGAUAACUGCAGGGAAUUAAUGUGGAAUCUCUCUCUAAUGAAGGACUCACUCAGAAGAGAAAAGUCCUAAUCUUGGCGGUCAUACAAUCAAACCACCUACCGGUCAAACUUUUGAGACGGUGAAAGGGGAGCUUUGUUGUCGCUAUUAUCAAGAGACCGCUGCCCUCUUCCGGACAUAUUGUGUUACAACAUCCAAAUGUAUUCCGUUUGGUGCAAAUAGCAAUAUUCUUUAGAGGUUUAACUUAACUCAGGGUUAUGAUUAUACACUAAAAAGUGUGAUAGUAGUUUGUAAAUCAGCACAGAUUUUGUGUUCUUCAGGUACCUGAUUUGCAUAAUUCCUUCAGUGCUACAACGCGGACAGCGCUUGACUUCAACAGAC